CCUACGGGAGGCAGCAGUGGGGAAUUUUGGACAAUGGGGGCAACCCUGAUCCAGCCAUUCCGCGUGAGUGAAGAAGGCCUUCGGGUUGUAAAGCUCUUUCGGCAGGAACGAAACGGU
rnacentral:rRNA from 1 species